ensembl:snoRNA SNORA63 Small nucleolar RNA SNORA63
ACGCAGGAUUCAGACUAGAAUAUAGACUAGAAUAUAGCUGUUAAGUGCUGUGUUGUCAUUCCCCCUGCUUAAAAUAAAGUUUUUUUCUUAACUAUACCUGUCUGCUAUCUGCUGUAGCAGCCAGGGAUGCUUGAUUUCAUACAU